UAUUACCUCUGCCUCUGAACUUCAAAACUGUAGCUACUAUCAACCAUGAUGUCUCAGCUGACAGGGUCCAGAGCUGUGAUCUUGUCAACAGAGGCCAGGGUGGAAGAAAUCUUCCUUUAGUGGUUUGUCCUCUUUGGGCAAAUCCUGCAAAAUGGACUUCUUCCUAGCUUGUGGAAGGAGCAUUUUUAAGGGGUUAAAUAUUCUUCAGCUUCCGCUUGACAACUGAAUUUUGAAUUCACGAGCUGUGUCAUUCUCUCCGUAGCCACACAGGAGGGCCGUGCUCUGUGUAAUCUACAAAAACAAAGCCACCAGUUGUGAUCUUGCAAAAAGGACUACGACAAACAAGGAAAUGAGGGAAGGAAGGAAGGAAGGAAGAAAGGAAGGAAGGAAAGAAGAUGAUUUAACACAGUGUUUUCUCAUACUGUGAAUACAAUAUGGUUGCUGUGGGAGUGUAACUGAUGCGCCUCAUUAGACUUUGAGAUUGU
rnacentral:lncRNA from 1 species